rnacentral:misc_RNA from 1 species
GAUAGGCUAUGGGUUUAUGAAGAGGAAAAUAGGACCAAGGUUAGAUGGGUGUACUGUGGCUCGAGCAAGCUGAUGUGUGAAGAAAUAGUAGCUGUCGGCGUUAGUGCCGAGCAAGAGAUAAUGGGGCAGUGAGAACAAGGGAGCUAGUGGAAUUAUUGGGUCCCUAUUCGUAGGCGUGCGGGUGAGAAAUAGUGUGUUAAUGUGAGCUGUGAGGUGAAGAGGGAUGGUGAGCUGAAUAAAUGGGUCUGGAAUUGGGGUUGCUGUGACAGGGUAAGAUAGGUAAGAGAGAGAUGAAGGUAAGGAUGCAAAAUUUUUGCAAAACGGCGAAGAGAGAGUGAAGAUGGCGAUGGGUCUGCUGAAGACGUCCAAAGAGAACGAGUUUGCUAAGAAGUUUUCUUUAGGUGGGAAUGAGAGAAUGGGCGAUGAAAAUGGGUUUUGUUUGGGAGGGCUUUGAACAGC